rnacentral:lncRNA from 1 species
GGGCAUACACACUGGCUGCCCUGAUCAGCCGAUUGUCCAGGUUGUCCCUUUACAGAUAUGCUUAUAGACUGUCAUCAAGUGUAACAGUUGUAACUACUUGGCAAAAGAUACUGUCAAAUUUUCUCUGAGAACACAAGCCACAGGCACUCAGCAGCCCCACAGGAAGACACUGUCGUGGACAUAGAUGCUCUCCACUGAGGAUAGCCAUUGUGGAUGCCUAUAGCCCUGCCAUGGAGGGCGGUAAAGAACCUCAAACUACUCAAACUCACCCUUGGUUUUGUGCACAUUGGACAUUGUGAACAGGAAGGACAAGCCCGUUACAGAUUGAAAUAUUUCCGUGGUUGGGAGCUGCACUCACCAUGGGCAUAAGAGGACUCGGCCAGAGCAGGCAGAGGCCCCCAUCACUGAAAGUACAUGGCGGGUGGAGUGGAGGGAGUAACAGAACUGGAAGUGGUGCUUCAGCUGUGGCUCUGGAUGGAGAAUGGCCAAAAGGACUGGCAUCAGUACCUCUGAAGUCAGGGGCUCUGGAAAGCCCUAUGGAGACUGGCAUGGAGUGAUCCCUGGGCUUGCC